CUUCCUUCAAAAACACCCCAAAACAAUCAUGUCUGCCGUGUGGAACCUCACUGCUAACACAUGCCACGAAAAAUACCUGGCGGGGGUAGCACGUUGGAAAGCUUUAAUACGGCAUUUGAAGAACAACACUUGACGGAGUUUGGCGAGUUUUGGAGGCUCGCGGUCACGGCAGCUAACGCAGCCGUGUGGCUAACACUCGCCAGUGUGUGACAGUCAGACGGCUAAGCUAAUAACCCGACAAAUAACAGAAUUAAUCGGACGAAAUGAGCAACAUUUCUCAGGAGUGGAAGACACCGGGUUCGCCAAAGUCUCCUUAAAGAAGGCGUCUCGUCCUCUGGAAGUUUCAGAGUGAUAUAUGUAUGUCUUCAAAUAGUACGCUUCCCGCCGAGCCCACUCCGCUGUGAUUGGUCACACUCCCAAGUGCUCCCGAGGACUUCCGGACAGCUGCUGAACUCCUUUUGACCGAUUACUUAUACAAAACAAACACAGCCUGGGCCCAUAUUCUCAUCUCUCAGAUCCGACGCACCUGCAGUCCAGCUGCUGGCACCACAUCUCCCCCAUGCUACAGCUUUACACGAUGUACCUGAUGUUGUGACCAGUGGGUGCAUAGAAGACAGCCAUACACUCAUAUUCACUUCAUUAAGUCUUAAAGGGGCCCUUAAGGUUACGACUACUUCUUCACGGUCACUCGUCUUAGCCCCCUGCCUGAUCUUGCUGUGGCUGCUAAAAAGUGGACGCCUGCCAACAGACGAAGAGCCAGAAGGAGUUGCUAGAAAGAGAAAAUGUUCUCAUCCUGGAUAAAUUCAAUGAAUGCAACACAGGGUGGAAGUCAAUGUACUGUAGUUAUAUUGAUUAUCACAACACACACUGAACUGUAAUCCAUACUAAAAGUGCUUCAUGGACAUUACACCGUAUAACAGAUUGUAUGUCUCGACAAGACAUUAUUAACUUGGCUCUACAAGACCAGGUCCUACCCAAAAGGACUAAAUGUCGGUUAGGAUACAGAGAACCAGGUCCAACCCUAACGCAAAAAACUCUAAAGAAGCCCAUCAGAACAAGUUUAAUAAUAAAAAAAACACCAUAUAUAAAGAAUAGAACUAAGGUUAACCCAAAGCACCAAAUAUAUAGGACCAGGUUUAACAGGGGUAUAUACAGGUUCUGGUCCAACCCAAAAGAGCCGCUCUAAAGAACCAGUACCAACCCCAAAAACACAAUUCUGUGUUAGACUAUACAGAAUCAGGUGUCCAUAUUUGUGUACUUUGUUUAGGCUAUACAGAACCAUCACCAAACUUCUGGUAUGUGAAACAGAACAGGGUCCAACCCAGAUGGACCAGGCUUGGAUUCGGCCAUACAGGACCUGGCUCAACCCAAAGAGACCACAUUUGUGGUAUGUUAUGCAGGACGGUAUUUGACCCAAAAGAGAAAAACAUGUCUCAAGCAAAGCAGGACUAGGUCCCGACCAAACCUCCAGUAAUACAGAACCAGGUACAACACAAAAGGAUAAAAAAAUAUGGCAGGCUGUAGACAACCAGGUUCGGACCAAACUUGUGGUACGAAAAACAGACCAGGUCUAGACCAAAAGAACCAAAUUUGUGUUAAACCCAUACAAGACCAGUUUCAACCCAAAAGGACUAAACUUGGCUUAGGUCAAGGUCUAAUUGAUUUUGGGCUAUACAGAACAAAGUCCAAUGCAAAUGAACACCCAUACAAACAAGCAUCAACCCAAAAGGCCCAUACUUGUGUUAGGCCAUGCAGUCAUCAAGUCCAACCCAAAAAGACCAGGCUUAGCUUAGGUCACAGUCUAACUGGUUUUGGGCUACACAGAACCAAGUGCCACUCUUGUGUUAGACCAAAAGGACCAAAGUUGUGUUGUACAUAGCCAGGUAGUCCAGUCAGCAUUCACAAUCAGUUUGACCUUUACCAUGACAAAGCACAAUCGCCCCUGUGUGUGUGACUUACGGUAGAAGACGUAUUCGGUGUAGCUGGACCAGACCUUAUCCUCGCUGUGCUGGCUGACAAACGAGGCUGUCACUGACGAGUUGCACGCCACCAUUUGGAAGCUGCACUCUGACAGCAUGUCGAAGGCUCUCUCCAGGUGCUUGAACUUCAGGUAAAACCUGGAAGUGUAGCGAUCCGGGGUCCUGUUUGGGUCCCGGCUUUCGUUCAGGGUCUCCCCGAAGACCUCUUUAGCCAAGGCCACACGUCCGCAGAUGAGGAUCCGUGGGACUCUGCGGAACUUUGCGUCGCUCUGAGCCUCUCGGCCUGUCGUGCAUGAGCCCCGGUAGCCCACUGUGAUGAAGCCGCUCUUCCGGUCCGCGGGCACCAAGGAGGGCGGCGGGCACAGGCGAGGGUCGCUGUCUUCAUGGUCGCUGUGGAAGAAGUCAUCCGGACUGUGCUUCAGCUCGUCAGGGCUCAGCAGCUUCACUAGGUCAGGGAGCUGAAAGUACUCUGCCUCCUUCUUUAGCCGACCUUUCUCCGGGAAGUGGUCUGGGAGAACGACAUGCUUGUCACGGAGGUAGUCCAGCACGUAGCGGAACAAAAAACCAUCCCGGUCAAUGAAAUAACGACCUUUGAGGUCUCUGGCCAAGUCGUUAGAGGCGUCCUUCCUAGAGAACAACUUGGCGAGCAGCGAACUGGGAGUACCCACCAGAGUGGAAUACCGAGUGUAGUAAACCUGGCCGCCCACGUUUAGUUCCAGAACAUCGGGGAAACUGUUUUGGACUGACACCUGAUCUUUAGGGUUAGUCCUGCAGUUUACACUAAGCGCCAUGGUGGGGGAAAGCUGCAAGGAGACCUUUUAGAAAAAUUGUGUGAAGAAGAUGGAGAGGCAAAAGUUCCCCAAAGAUGCUGGCAUCAUCCAUCCAUCACCUGUCAGUCAGGGUGUCCCUUGGAAGAUGCAAGGAAUUAAAGCUUGAGAAUGAUCCAAAACAUAUUAAACGAUUCUGUUGGUGCCAUCCUGGCCAGAACCAACAGAAGAACCUAGUUGCAUUAAAAAGAAUAGCAAGAAAACUCCACGUAAAAACUUAAGAUCCAGCUUCUUCCAGCUUGUGCAGGAGCUUCCAGUGCAGAACUUGGACCCAGCCAGAACACGCUAGAGUGCUUGUCAAAUCUCAUCUGACGUGUUAUCCUGGAGCUUCACAAAAUGAUAUUUGUCAUUAAAUAAUACAAUUCAAAUGUCAGUUUUAAAGGAGAAGUAAGCCAACCUGCUUUCACCAAGGAGCUGUCCGCGGUUCUGAUCCACCAGCCCCCCGCCCCCUCGCUUCUGUUCUCCCUUCCCUCAAACCUCCCCUCCCACCCGCUCGCACCGCCCUUUCUUCCACCGAGCAGGGUGGCGUCCUCG